ensembl:lncRNA
GGGGGUUGGGGAAGGUGGACAAUGUUCUUUUUUGUUUUAUCUUCCUGUUUAUACUGAUUUUAUUAUUUAUAUUUAAACUCUCUAUGUAUUUCUUACAUAGUUGUCUUCUCUUGAGUACAGGUUGUAUAAACGUAUAUGAAAUGGACAAUGUACCUGUAAACCCCCUAACAAAACAAUGUCAAAACAAAUAAACAAUUGGUCACAAAAAACUACUUUACAUGGAAGGAUUGCUUUUGAUUUGACAGCCUGCACAUGACAACCGUUAGACCUGAUGACGUGUUCUGCACAUGGGCAGUUCAGGACAACAGUUAGACCUGAUGACGUGUUCUGCACAUGGGCAGUUCAGGACAACCAUUAGACCUGAUGAUGUGUUCUGCACAUGGGCAGUUCAGGACAACCCUUAGACCUGAUGAUGUGUUCUGCACAUGGGCAGUUCAGGACAACCCUUAAACCUGAUGAUGUGUUCUGCACAUGAGCUUAGCGAGCCAACGUUGCCAUGACAUCGCCUACAAACAUUAUCGAGGAUUUCUAUUGGAGAAAUAGUUUCUUCCUUCAUACUGUCCUGCUAUGGUAAAGACAUUCUCUUGAGUAGUUAUCAGACCGAGUACUGUAAGGCAUGUUGUAAUGGUAACCAUGGUAAAGUGAUGACAUCACUCACGUCAUCCAAAAACAUGGCAGCCAUUGGAUGAGAACGACUUCCCACUCUCAUUAAAGCCACAGAAGUUCGAGGCAGGCUGCGGUACCGCAGGCAUUGUUUGCAAAAACAGGAUUCUCCAUUAUAGUGAAUUUGACAUUUUUUGAUCAUCGUGGUCAAUCUUUGUGUAAUUAAAAACCAAUUUUUGAAGACAGUCAUGCUGCCAAUAAUUGCUUCUGAAACACCAGAUAUAUGUCCUCAAACCGAUAUUUUUUUCUAUCGCAGGAUAAGGAUUAGUUGAUGCUAAUGACUGUCUGCAGUACCCCGGUCGGCCUACAAUGUGAGUUAAUCAAUGAGAAGGGGCAGCACUGAGCUAGUCUGCAACGUCACAUUCUGGAGUAGCUCAAACGGCUGCAUGUCAUGUCUCCAUGAGACGCCAUCUUACCCAAAUUAAUUUGGCUUCAAUGCGCUAUCGAGUCUUCACAUAGGAAUGAAUUGUGUCACGCGAUCAAUGGCUUUGUCCAUUCAUUGGUGCAGAGAGUCAUGGUCCUGUUGUCUGUGGAUGUACUGUAUCGAGAGCAGACACUCAUUAACACUCAAUAGUGCAGAUCAAUAAACGUGCUACACUGUAACUGUGCGCUAUCUUACCAGUUCCUAUGGUCAUUGCCACAGAGUCGGUCAAGACAGCACAAACAGAUCGUUACAUUAUAUCUGGUCUGGUCUGUCUGGCGUUACUGUACGAUAGCCAAGCUAUUCCGCUGACUGUUUCUUUCAGACAACAAAGAAGAAGAAGACAAUCAUUUGAAUUGAUCCAUCUAUUGAACAUCACCUUGGUUACUAGUUUGGGACUGAGAUGAAAAACAAAGACAAUGAGUCAGUUUAGCCUGGUCCCAGAUCUGUUGGUGCUGUCUUGCCAACUCAUAUGGACCUUGUCAUGGAUGUGGCUGUAUACAGCACAAAUAGAUCUGGCGCCAGGCUAUAGGAUCGAUUCUCUUCUGUUGUGACAUCAGGCUAUAGGAUCGAUUCCCUUCUGUUGUGACAUCAGGCUAUAGGAUCGCACCUCUUCUGUUGUGACAUCAGGCUAUAGGAUCGAUUCCCUUCUGUUGUGACAUCAGGCUAUAGGAUCGAUUCUCUUCUGUUGUGACAUCAGGCUAUAGGAUCGAUUCCCUUCUGUUGUGACAUCAGGCUAUAGGAUCGAUUCUCUUCUGUUGUGACAUCAGGCUAUAGGAUCGAUUCUCUUCUGUUGUGACAUCAGUCUAUAGGAUCGAUUCUCUUCUGUUGUGACAUCAGUCUAUAGGAUCGAUUCUCUUCUGUUGUGACAUCAGGAUAUAAGAUCGAUUCCCUUCUGUUGUGACAUCAGUCUAUAGGAUCGAUUCUCUUCUGUUGUGACAUCAGUCUAUAGGAUCGAUUCUCUUCUGUUGUGACAUCAGUCUACAGGAUCGAUUCUCUUCUGUUGUGACAUCAGUCUAUAGGAUCGAUUCUCUUCUGUUGUGACAUCAGGCUAUAGUAUCGAUUCUCUUCUGUUGUGACAUCAGUCUAUAGGAUCGAUUCUCUUCUGUUGUGACAUCAGGCUAUAGGAUCGAUUCUCUUCUGUUGUGACAUCAUCACAACAUCAUCCUCUUCAGAUGGGAGACAAGUACUGCAGUCGUCAUGGUGAAGUCCAGGGAUUCCCAAAAGGGGGACCAAGUUCAACGACGAUAAUUUAAAAGUCCAAUCUAGACUGAAAUAACAUCUAUAGACCUACACCUCACCCACAAAACUGGGCAGGGAGGAGAAGAAAUUAUAUUUACAAAACAAAUGUAUUUUAAAAUGUUUCAUUUUUCGUUAACUCCUUUCAAUUGAACACACAAACACAAUCCUGAUUUAUCAAAACAUCUAACAUUCCACGUUUUAUGGUUCAUAUAUAUCCUCAUUCUGUCCUCUGUAUAACUAUCAAAACAAUCUCAUAAAGUCAGAGAAACCACUGGUUAGCAUGAUACAAAAACAAGCUCUCUCUCUCUCUCUCGUAAACCUGUCAACACGACAUGCAACACACAAACUCAUCACAACAACACAACCACAUACCCCUGCCCAUGUCCAAACCCAUCAGCUGAGAUAGAGAAGACUUUCUCAAAGGGCUUCACUAAGACAUUAUUAUAAACCAUCUCUAAUAUAUAUAUAUUAUUGCAUUAUUAUAAACCAUCUCUUACAUAACAGCAGCUAUAUGGCCAUGUUCUGAAAGCAAAAUUAUCUUAUGGACAAUCUAUCUAUCUUUUCCAUCAGUCUAUCUAAUCCUCCUCACCCUGUCUCCAGAGCCAAACAAGUGGCACCUCAUUCCCUGCUCUCUGCAGAGACUCUGUGUGUAAUACCAUCUUUUCCCACUAGGUGGCAGAGAGGCCGUUAUAUAGCUCAUGCCAAGCCAGCGGGACCGGAUGGGCUUUUAAAAGAUUUCGUUUUUUAAAGAGUGAUAAAGACAAAGACUGUCAGUCACUAAGGGUUCUAUUCGAUCUGUAUCGCAGAAGUUCCGCUUUUACAGCGUGAUUGAAAUGUAAAGGUAAUGUAGCAGAGACUGCAUUCACGGUAAACACUGCGUAUGUCGGCUCAAAUUUUCCUUCACAUUUCUAUCGUGGGAAUCUGUAAACGCUUCAGCUUUCCUUUUGAACAGAGGUCUAAAUAUCUGCUUUGAAUGCUUUCGGUUAAAGAGUGGUUCAUUGCCUCUAUUCAAAACGACUGGGCUCUGGUUUCGAGAGAUUACAUGGGCUUGGAGGUAUUAUUUUAAGCUUAAAAACACAAUUCCUAAGUGUAAAAGGGCCAGAAAUGUCUCUUUUAAGUUGGUGUAAAAACCUCAAGAAAUUCGAAAUCUUAAAUAUUUUGCAAAACAGUCUUUAAAAACACCUGUGGUAUAGUAGUGUUACCCUGCGUACACAACAUCCUCUUUCCAAGGUCUACGUACAAAACAUGCCAGCUACAAAACCUAAGCAAACAGAUUUCCAUAACAAGGGACAGUUCCC